GUGCAUGGCAGACGGGUGAGUAACGCGUGGGGAAUCUACCUCUUUGUGGGGAAUAACGCUCCGAAAGGAGUGGUAAUACCGCAUGAGAUCCAUGGCUGGAAUGUUGUGGAUGAAACCUGGGGACCUUCGGGCCUGGGGCAAGGAGAGGAUCCUGCGUCUGAUUAGCUAGUUGGUGAGGUAACGGCCCACCAAGGCAACGAUCAGUAGCCGGCCUGAGAGGGUGAUCGGCCACACUGGAACUGAGACACGGUCCAGACUCCUACGGGAGGCAGCAGUGGGGAAUUUUGCGCAAUGGGCGAAAGCCUGACGCAGCAACGCCGCGUGGGUGAUGAAGGUCUUCGGAUCGUAAAACCCUGUCGUCGGGGACGAAGGUGUGGGGGUUAAUAGCCUUUGCAUUUGACGGUACCCGGAGAGGAAGCCCCGGCUAACUCUGUGCCAGCAGCCGCGGUAAUACAGAGGGGGCAAGCGUUAUUCGGAAUUAUUGGGCGUAAAGGGCGCGUAGGCGGCUUUUUAAGUGAGAUGUGUAAUCCCCGAGCUCAACUUGGGAACUGCAUCUCAUACUGGGAGGCUAGAGUACUGGAGAGGGUGGUAGAAUUCCACGUGUAGCGGUGAAAUGC
rnacentral:rRNA from 1 species